rnacentral:rRNA from 1 species
UAGUCCUAGCCGUAAACGAUACUCGCUAGGUGUCGGCCACGGUGCGACCGUUGUCGGUGCCGUAGGGAAGCCGUGAAGCGAGCCACCUGGGAAGUACGGCCGCAAGGCUGAAACUUAAAGGAAUUGGCAGGGGAGCACCACAACGGGUGGAGCUUGCGGUUUAAUUGGAUUCAACGCCGGAAAUCUUACCGGGACCGACAGCAAUAUGAAGGCCAGGCUGAAGACUUUGCCGGAUUAGCUGAGAGGUGGUGCAUGGCCGUCGUCAGUUCGUACUGUGAAGCAUCCUGUUAAGUCAGGCAACGAGCGAGACCCACGCCCACAGUUGCCAGCGUACUCUCUGGAGUGACGGGUACACUGUGGGGACCGCCGCUGCUAAAGCGGAGGAAGGAAUGGGCAACGGUAGGUCAGUAUGCCCCGAAUAUCCCGGGCUACACGCGAGCUACAAUGGUUGGUACAAUGGGUAUCUACCCCGAAAGGGGACGGGAAUCUCCUAAAACCAAUCUUAGUUCGGAUUGAGGGCUGCAACUCGCCCUCAUGAAGCUGGAAUCCGUAGUAAUCGCGUUUCAACAGAACGCGGUGAAUACGUCCCUGCUCCUUGCACACACCGCCCGUCAAACCACCCGAGUAGGGUCUGAAUGAGAGCGCUUUCUUUGGAGGCGUUCGAAUUUGGGCUUUGCAAGGGGGGUU